AGGUUGGGAGCUUAAUGUGGUUCUCAGCUUGGCACUGUGAACUGCGCAUGGCUCAGUAAAUCAGUUAUAGUUUAUUUGAUGGUAUCUUACUACAUGGAUACUGUGGUAAUUCUAGAGCUAAUACAUGCAUCCAAGCCCCUACUCUUGGAAGGGGUGUAUUUAUUAAAUAAAAAACCAACGCGGUUCGCCCCUUCUUUUGUGAUUCAUAAUAACUUCUCGAAUCGCAUGGCCUUGUGCCAGCUUUGCUUCAUUCAAAUUUCUGCCCCAUCAUCUUUCGAUGGGACGAUUAAGGCCUACCAAGGUUUCAACGGGGAGAGGGGAAUAAGGGUUCAAUUCCUGACCCCCAUCCUGAAAAACGGCUAUCCCUUCGGAGGAAGGCAGUUGAUUCACUAAUUACCCUAAACGGAAAGAGGAAAGUAAUGAAAAAAAAAAGCAAAGGGGGUUUUUUUGGUUCUUAUAAUUGGAAUGAGUACAAUUAAAUCCCUUACAAGAAUAAAGAAGGGGAAGUCUGGUAGAACCGCAACAGACAC
rnacentral:rRNA from 1 species